GAUCCUGGCUCAGAAUCAACGCUGGCGGCGUGCCUAGCACAUGCAAGUCGAACGCGAAAGCCCCGAAAGGGGCAAGUAGAGUGGCAAACGGGUGAGUAACACGUGGGUGACCUGCCUUCGAGCGGGGGAUAACGUCCCGAAAGGGACGCUAAUACCGCAUAACAUCCUGCCUUUGAAGAGGUGGAGAUCAAAGCUGGGGAUCGCAAGACCCGGCACUUGAAGAGGGGCCCGCGUCUGAUUAGCUAGUUGGUGGGGUAACGGCCUACCAAGGCAACGAUCAGUAUCCGGCCUGAGAGGGCGGACGGACACACUGGGACUGAGACACGGCCCAGACUCCUACGGGAGGCAGCAGUGGGGAAUUGUUCGCAAUGGGCGCAAGCCUGACGACGCAACGCCGCGUGGAGGAUGAAGAUUUUCGGAUCGUAAACUCCUGUCGAAUGGGACGAACAGAUUGCGGGUUAACAGCCCGUAGUCCUGACGGUACCGUUAAAGGAAACCCCGGCUAACUCCGUGCCAGCAGCCGCGGUAAUACGGGGGGGGUAAGCGUUGUUCGGAAUUACUGGGCGUAAAGGGCUCGUAGGCGGCCAACUAAGUCAUACGUGAAAUCCCUCAGCUUAACUGGGGAACUGCGUGUGAUACUGGAUGGCUUGGAUUUGGGAGAGGGAUGCGGAAUUCCAGGUGUAGCGGUGA
rnacentral:rRNA from 1 species